UCUAAGGUAAAGAAAUCUUAUGUUUUUCGAAUCAUGAAAAAACGAAUUGUGUUCUAGGGCUCCUGUCGCUCCUCGAAUGCUCGAAGACGAAGGAUAAGAUUUGGAUUUGUGUUUGGGAGAUUAGCUUCAGUUUCAUCAGGAGCAGCGCCGAAAAGAUUACAAGAUAAUGAACCAUUAAUGCGAGCACUUUCAAAGCUCAUCAAUCUCAACAGUCCCGAUCUGGUCCUGUUCGUUGGUGAGGCACUGGUUGGGAAUGAUGAUGUGGAUCAAUUAUUGAAGUUUAAUCAGGUUCUGUCUCUAUAACUAGGCUCUCACGCCUCUCCUAAUCCAAGACUGAUUGAUGGAAUUCUGCUCACCAAGUAUGAUACCAUUGAUGAUAAGGUUGGAGCUGCGCUGUCGAUGGUUUACAUAUCUGGAGCACCUGUCAUGUUUGUUGGCUUUGGACAGUCUUAUACAAACCUCAAGAAGCUCAAUGUCAAGUCCAUUGUGAAGACACUCCUUGAAUGAGAAAAUGUGUUGGUCUCACUCUUUCAGUUAUAGUUAUCUAAGCACGUCAUCCUUCUCUCUGUUAUCAAUUCUCUAUCCAUGCUACAACUUUUAUACUGUCCCUGUGUGAUCUCAUUACUUUGAUGUUGGAGGUGAAUUAUUGCAUGCUGUUGUUAACUCUCUC